AUUGAACGCUGGCGGCAUGCCUUACACAUGCAAGUCGAACGGCAGCACGGGAGCAAUCCUAGUGGCGAGUGGCGAACGGGUGAGUAAAGUAUCGGAACGUGCCCAGUCGUGGAGGAUAACGUAGCGAAAGUUACGCUAAUACCGCAUACGAUCUAUGGAUGAAAGCGGGGGAUCGCAAGACCUCGCGCGAUUGGAGCGGCCGAUAUCAGAUUAGGUAGUUGGUGGGGUAAAGGCUCACCAAGCCGACGAUCUGUAGCUGGUCUGAGAGGACGACCAGCCACACUGGGACUGAGACACGGCCCAGACUCCUACGGGAGGCAGCAGUGGGGAAUUUUGGACAAUGGGCGAAAGCCUGAUCCAGCCAUGCCGCGUGCAGGAUGAAGGCCUUCGGGUUGUAAACUGCUUUUGUACGGAACGAAAAGGUUUGGGCUAAUAAGCUGAGCUCAUGACGGUACCGUAAGAACAAGCACCGGCUAACUACGUGCCAGCCGCCGCAGUAA
rnacentral:rRNA from 1 species